UUAAAGGCAAAACAGGAGAAAUCCUGCGGCGCAAAGCUAUAGGGUCUGAAAGGGCGUGAUGAGGGGUGUAGAGUAUUGCGUCAAGUAUGAUAGCCAGUUGC
rnacentral:ncRNA from 1 species